rnacentral:tRNA from 1 species
GCCGGUGUAGCUCAGUUGGCUAGAGCAGCUGAUUUGUAAUCAGCAGGUCGCGGGUUCGAGUCCCAUCACCGGCUCCA